rnacentral:tRNA from 1 species
GCCCUAGUAGCUUAGCCCAGAGCAUUGGCCUUGUAAACCAAAGACGGAACUCACAUUCCCUAGAGCA